rnacentral:lncRNA from 1 species
CAGUCCCAAGGCCACACCAGCAGCCCCCGGCACAGUCAUGCAGUGCCACGGAAGGGAAGAUACUAAUUUCAAACUAACUCUUCACCUCUAUCAUUUAAUCUUCUGACACUGCCUAGAGGCCUGCAGGAGGAGUUACUCCCAUUUUAUAGGGAGGCAGCUGGAACUGGAGUGGUGGAGAGACUUGCCUAGGUGUGGAGCCUCCCUCAGCAGAUCUGGGCAUGGAGCUCAGACGGGAGGAUACUGGCACACACAGCUGUGUCCAGAGUCACUCAGCAGGCCAGAACUGGGCCCCGGGAGGUAGAGAGGAGGGCAGAACCUUCCUCCCAGUUUGGAGUUAUGAGCUUCACAUUGCUGACUUGGAGGAGGAGCUGAGAUUCUUGCAGACACUGCUGAAGCCAGGGAAGGGCCUGGUCCCUGACUGCUAAUCGUGUUAAGCAGUGGGCGACUGGGAAAGUGUGCUGCUGGAGAGAACAGAGGGGCCAUUCUGCCUUCCUGCUACUGCCAGCUAGCGGGGAACAGUGCCUGCACACACACCAUGCUGCAUGCCUGCCCUCCAAACCAGGACAUGCCCAGCUGGGUUCUUUCCAGAGGCUAAUUCCAAUUGCCCUAUGGACAGAGGUGAAGCUGAACUGGUGCUGCAUUGGGUGCAAUCUGGAUUUGCUAUUGCUGCUCUUGCAAUAGAACUGUUUGUUAUAGUUGCACUUGGCUGGCACUGGACAGCAGCUCGAAGCCAUUCGGGCCCCCGUUCUGUUCAUUUUUAGUGCCUGUCUAGCAUCUCAGUAUGCAGCACGUAAUAGGCAACUUACAGGUGUGUGCGUCAUUGACAUCACUGAACUGAUUCGAAGGAUGCCUCUGGUGUUACCAAGGCGUCUAACACUCAGAAAUCAAUGCAGCAGGGAAGGAAUGGACCCUGCUUUCAGAUAACCAGGCUGGUGGUCAGCAGCGUCUUGACUUCUAGUCUGUAGUCUCUGAAUAGCAUACCUGUUUCCAGGACUCUCACUACACACUUAUUUUUUCUUUUAACUAUGAUGUCAGUGCUGUAACACGGUCCCAUUGCUGCUUCGCUUCUCCAGCAAUGGGCUGUUGAACAGCUACUCUGUUAUGUAUUAAACACAGCUCUUAUAUUAAAAAAAAAAUGGCUAAGGGCUUUGAACAUUGAUUUCUACCCUCAGGCUAGAGGUGUUUCUGUUGGGAAGUGGG